rnacentral:rRNA from 1 species
GUAGGUGGCAAGCGUUGUCCGGGAAUUAUUGGGGCGUAAAGCGCGCGCAGGCGGUUCUUUAAGUCUGAUGUCGAAAGCCCACGGGCUCAACCGUGGAGGGUCAUUGGAAACUGGAGAACUUGAGUACAGAAGAGGAAAGCGGAAUUCCACGUGUAGCGGUGAAAUGCGUAGAGAUGUGGAGGAACACCAGUGGCGAAGGCGGCUUUCUGGUCUGUAACUGACGCUGAGGCGCGAAAGCGUGGGGAGCAAACAGGAUUAGAUACCCUGGUAGUCCACGCCGUAAACGAUGAGUGCUAAGUGUUAGGGGGUUUCCGCCCCUUAGUGCUGCAGCUAACGCAUUAAGCACUCCGCCUGGGGAGUACAGCCGCAAAGGCUG